rnacentral:rRNA from 1 species
UAGAGUUUGAUCCUGGCUCAGAUUGAACGCUGGCGGCAUGCCUUACACAUGCAAGUCGAACGGCAGCACGGGGGCAACCCUGGUGGCGAGUGGCGAACGGGUGAGUAAUGCAUCGGAACGUGCCCAGUAGUGGGGGAUAGCUCGGCGAAAGCCGGAUUAAUACCGCAUACGACCUAUGGGUGAAAGCGGGGGACCGCAAGGCCUCGCGCUGUUGGAGCGGCCGAUGUCAGAUUAGGUUGUUGGUGGGGUAAAGGCCCACCAAGCCGACGAUCUGUAGCUGGUCUGAGAGGACGACCAGCCACACUGGGACUGAGACACGGCCCAGACUCCUACGGGAGGCAGCAGUGGGGAAUUUUGGACAAUGGGGGCAACCCUGAUCCAGCCAUGCCGCGUGCGGGAAGAAGGCCUUCGGGUUGUAAACCGCUUUUGUCAGGGAAGAAAUCUUCCAGGCUAAUACCUUGGGAGGAUGACGGUACCUGAAGAAUAAGCACCGGCUAACUACGUGCCAGCAGCCCCGGUCAA